rnacentral:tRNA from 1 species
GCCCGCUUGGCACAGCGGUAAUGCGCCUCACUAGUAUAUACCUACUAAUGAGAAAGCUAUGAGGAGAUGACUGGUUCGACUCCAGUAGUGGGCA